rnacentral:misc_RNA from 1 species
GAAAUGCGAUAAGUAAUGUGAAUUGCAGAAUUCAGUGAAUCAUCGAAUCUUUGAACGCACCUGGCGCUCCUUGGUAUUCCUUGGAGCAUGCCUGUUUGAGUAUCAUGAAAUCUUCAAAGUAAAUCUUUUGUUAACUCAAUUGGUUUCUACUUUGGUAUUGGAGGUCUUUGCAGCUUCACACCUGCUCCUCUUUGUUCAUUAGCUGGAUCUCAGUGUUAUGCUUGGUUCCACUCGGCGUGAUAAGUUAUCUAUCGCUGAGGACACUGUAAAAGGUGGCCAAGGUAAAUGCAGAUGAACCGCUUCUAAUAGUCCAUUGACUUGGACAAUACUUUUAUGAUCUGAUCUCAAAUCAGGUAGGACUACCCGCUGCCCUUAAGC